AUUGAACGCUGGCGGCAGGCCUAACACAUGCAAGUCGAGCGGAGCGGCGGACGGGUGAGUAAUGCCUAGGAAUCUGCCUGGUCGUGGGGGAUAACGUCCGGAAACGGGCGCUAAUACCGCAUACUAUCAGAUGAGCCUAGGUCGGAUUAGCUAGUUGGUGGGGUAAAGGCCUACCAAGGCGACGAUCCGUAACUGGUCUGAUAGGAUGAUCAGUCACACUGUGACUAUGACACGUUCCAGACUCCUACGGGAGACAACAGGGGGGAAUAUUGGAAAAUGGGCGAAAGCCGGAUACAGCAAUGCCGCGUGUCUGAAGAAGGGCUUCGGAUUGUAAAGCACUUUAAGUUGGGAGACGUUACCAACAGAAUAAGCACCGGCUAACUGCGUGCCAGCAGCCGCGGUAAUUC
rnacentral:rRNA from 1 species